rnacentral:rRNA from 1 species
CCUACGGGAGGCGGCAGUGAGGAAUAUUGGACAAUGGGCGCAAGCCUGAUCCAGCCAUGCCGCGUGCAGGAAGACGCAUCUAUGGUGUGUAAACUGCUUUUGUACAGGAAGAAACACUCCCUCGUGAGGGAGCUUGACGGUACUGUAAGAAUAAGGAUCGGCUAACUCCGUGCCAGCAGCCGCGGUAAUACGGGGGAUCCAAGCGUUAUCCGGAAUCAUUGGGUUUAAAGGGUCCGUAGGCGGUUUAAUAAGUCAGUGGUGAAAUCUGGUCGCUCAACGAUCAAACGGCCAUUGAUACUGUUAGACUUGAAUUAUAAGGAAGUAACUAGAAUAUGUAGUGUAGCGGUGAAAUGCUUAGAUAUUACAUGGAAUACCAAUUGCGAAGGCAGGUUACUACUUAUGGAUUGACGCUGAUGGACGAAAGCGUGGGGAGCGAACAGGAUUAGAUACCCUGGUAGUCCACGCCGUAAACGAUGGAUACUAGCUGUUGGGCGCAAGUUCAGUGGCUAAGCGAAAGUGAUAAGUAUCCCACCUGGGGAGUACGUUCGCAAGAAUGAACUCAAAUGAAUUGACGG